UCACAAGUUUUGAUCUCCGGUAU
rnacentral:ncRNA from 2 species